rnacentral:lncRNA from 1 species
CUUUCUAUAGAUCAUAACACUCAAGUAAUGCCUCUUAUUUUGAUUGCUUUCUUCACUAUUCUACUUUUAUAGACUACAAUAUACAACUUGCUUCCUUUUCAUUUUCUUUGCUUUUCAUAUUAUUUUUUUUUCUUUCUCAUUUUUUACAUUUUUUGGCUUUUUCGAUAUUGCGGCUUUUUCCAAAUGGGGGUAGUCACAACCUUGGCCGGACUUGGAAGGAAUCAGUCUCUGGCUCACGCCUUAAGCAUGAGAAAGGUUGGGAAGACGGCAGACCUCAAGGGUCGCCACACGUGUUUAGGCUGUAACCAAACUCCAUGACAUUUUUUAUUCUACGAACCUCAUUGAGACUCCUCCCACAUGUUUUAGCUUUGUAAAAAUUUAGGUAGACUCGUU